GAUGAACGCUGGCGGCGUGCCUAAUACAUGCAAGUCGAGCGAAUGGAUUAAGAGCUUGCUCUUAUGAAGUUAGCGGCGGACGGGUGAGUAACACGUGGGUAACCUGCCCAUAAGACUGGGAUAACUCCGGGAAACCGGGGCUAAUACCGGAUAACAUUUUGAACCGCAUGGUUCGAAAUUGAAAGGCGGCUUCGGCUGUCACUUAUGGAUGGACCCGCGUCGCAUUAGCUAGUUGGUGAGGUAACGGCUCACCAAGGCAACGAUGCGUAGCCGACCUGAAAGGGUGAUCGGCCACACUGGGACUGAGACACGGCCCAGACGCCUACGGGAGGCAGCAGUAGGGAAUCUUCCGCAAUGGACGAAAGUCUGACGGAGCAACGCCGCGUGAGUGAUGAAGGCUUUCGGGUCGUAAAACUCUGUUGUUAGGGAAGAACAAGUGCUAGUUGAAUAAGCUGACACCUUGACGGUACCUAACCAGAAAGCCACGGCUAACUACGUGCCAGCCGCCGCCGUAA
rnacentral:rRNA from 1 species